UAAUAUCACCUACAGCAUGAC
rnacentral:misc_RNA from 1 species